AAAAUAACAAACAUGAGUUUGUACUGUAAAAGUGGGCUUAAUUAUGUCUACGUCUCGUGAAAACCAAAGAACCGACAGACCGGCUUCCGAUCUUAUCACUGAAAACCAUAUCCAAAUUGGCACCGCCAUUGUCAGAGAACUAAUUAUGAUUAGUAUUUUGUGGUAUAACGUAACCCUCAGACACAGCCCACUGAGUUUCUCGCCGGAUCUUCUCAGUGGGUCGCGUUUCCGAUCGGGUGGUAGAUUCUGCGAAGCACGACUCUUGCUAGGGUUGGUCUUAGCAACUUCGUCAGGUUUGAGCCCCGUGAGCUCACCUACUAGUUAAGGCUACGCUGAUAUAGCCUCUCAAGGCUCUCAGCUUAGGUAGAAAAAAAAAAGGUGGUUUAACGAAAAUUUAAUAAAUCAUACCCACGCGACUCUCAGGAAUUGAGGAAAAUAAUAACAUCGUCUCCAUUCUAGCAUUAGAUUAGUAUCCAUUGUAUCCAUGUUUCAAAGUGAUCUUAAACGAUUUUGGUCAAUAUUUGUGUGCCACGUAAUGACUAUUCGUUCCGUUUUGAACAGUAGGCUUAAAAUUUUUAGUAUUUUUGAAUGAAUGAAAGAAUUCACAUCCCGUCUGCUGUUAAUUCCGCGAUUUACUUCGAGACAUGAGGUAGAAGCCUCAAGUGUGGUAUGGGCAGUAUAGUAUAGCCAGUAUAGUAUAGGUAGUAUGAAUAUAAUAUAUAUACAUCAAAAUAACACCAAAACUGGAGCAUUAAAUGCUUCGCGUUAGAAAUAGUCAGGACGAUGAGAUACCAAUCCUAGCGGACGUACAAUACGUUUGCCACCAUUAAUUACGUAAAUUUAUAAAUUUUGCGAAACUGAAUUUUAUUAAACGAAGCUUUUUCUUCUUCGACAUACAAUAUGUAUUUUGUGAACGCGUGUCAAGUCGUAUUAGACUUCGAUUUACUUAAACAAAUUGGUGACGUCAUAGUCGCAUAGCUUAGUACGGGCGUACCUUACAUCUUAUAAAAUAUUCGCUUUCGUCAUUUUACUGUGUAUAGGAUGAGGAUCAGAUAAACUCUCCUGUUUAUCAUGGCGGUAAAUAUAAAAGUAGCUUCACAUAAACUAAGUAUUACAGAAAGAGCAACGCUCGAAAACCGUAAUUAAAAGAAAGUGCCACAACGCGGUACGGCUAAUUAAAUGUAAAUGAAAAUGAACUUAAGCGUCGAGAUGCACUUCUUGUAGACGUCUCGGAAAAUGCUAGAAAUUUCAAAAAUCAUUUCAAAGUAUUACAUACUUCAUUCUUUUUUAUUUAUUAUAUUCCUGUUUGGACAAAAUGUCACUAUGAACUGAAAAUGCAAUUGUCAAACGUAGUCAUUAUGUUCUUCAAUAAUCCCGUUUUUGUCAAACCAUCACAAAAAUGCUCUAAAUUUUUUUGUUGAUCAUUAUUUCAAAUCAUUGAGACGAAUAACUAUGACCAGUUUGAACGAACAAAUCGAACACCCUUCAUUUUUCUGGAAUUGCCUCGCCCUCCAAGACGAUUGUCCAUUCUAUUCAUCGAUAGAUCCAAAACUUUAUUACUUCGCUGUGGGACUGACUUGCAUAUACGCCGCAUUUUUCGUAAUAAUCCUGGCUGACCUUCAAUUUUAUUGGUCGCUUGAUGGCUUACAACAAAAAAUUGAUUACUAUUCAAAUUUAGUGCGAAAAAAAGUUAGACGCGUGCAAAUGAACCAGCAGAGAUUAGUAUCUACACAGGAAAGAACUGAAAAGCAACUGAAAAGAAGUCGCCAAAGUACGGGAAUUAUCACCGGAUUAAGAGGAACUUUGUCGAUGGAUGAGACUCCGACACAUUCUUUGCUGGCCAUUUGUGAAAAUGAAACUACGAAAUAUCCAACAUAUUGUAGCAGCCAACAUGCCAUUGAAUUUUAGAACGUUCAAUCCAUUGUUAUAACUAGACGACGCUUUACGAGGAAAAUAAAUAAAUUUAACAAUAAAACGUUGUGCGAAUGUCGCCAGCAAUAUUUCGAACUUCGACGUGUAUUUGGAACAGAGGCGAACGCUUCAAAAGCAUUACGAAUGCCUUUUAUAUUUCAUCUUUUACACUUCGCCAGGCGUGAAACUGUAUUUGAAGACAAACGUCUUUAUACCAUUUACGAUAUCUUAGACACGUAGAAAUGUUAACCUAGUUAAAUUUCCGUGCCAAAUGUUUUUGACAUCUUAAUUCAUACCAUAUUUAAUACACUAACUAAUAUGUAAAUAUCGUAUAUCUUUAAACGAGCAAUUUUUGUAUAUAAAUAUAUUUCAUACAUAAUCUGAAUCUCGGAAACGGCUCCAACGAUUUUCAGAAAAUUUAGUAUACGGGGGUUUUUGGGGGCGAUAAAUCGAUCUAGCUACGAUUUAAUUUCAGAAAAUGUUGUUUUAUUCGUGUUUUCAAUAAUCAACUUUAUCGAUAUUUUUAAUUUUUUCUUUAAAUAACCAGUUUCAUAUUUUUUUAUUAUUCUGUCGGUAAGAUCGAAAAAUAUUAUUCAUAUUUCAUCAUUUUAUCAAUAUGUAAUUCGAAUUAAACUAUAAUUUCUAAAAAACACAAUUUAUCAAGGAAGGUGGGGAAGGAAAGUCCUCGAAUGGAGGCCACGGAUGGGUACCAGGAGCGUGGGGCGUCCUCCAACCAGGUGGACUGACGACUUAGUGCGCACGGCGGGAAGUCGUUGGACGCGGAAGGCGGAGGAUCGCAUUAUGUGGAAGGCAUUGGGGAAGGCCUAUGUCCAGCAGUGGGCAGAUAAAAGCUGAUGAUGAUAAUGAUGAUGAUGACAAUUUAUCAAAAAAAAUACCGAGCAAAGCUCGGUCAUUAUCUAGUAGCACAUAAAUGAUUUUGAGAAAAAAACAAAACACAUUUUAAAGUCAACUUAUUUUUCAUUUAUUCAAUUUCAAAGUCGCAAUGUUCCAAGUAUCUCGUUCUCGGAAAAGUAUGGCUCGAGUUUAACGAAUUCGGCGACAGGAAGAUGCCCCGCUUAAAGUUAAGCAAUUAAGAAGAAGCUAAGCGGCGAGAUUGCGCAUCGAAACUUCUUGUUUUCCUCAACCGAAAACUAUCUUCAUUACAUCUGUGUAUCUACCGUCUAAUGCAUGGACAAUGUUUGCGACCGCACCGACUCCGUAAACAUGUAUACGGGUACAGCACCCGAAUUUGGUUAAAGAUAGUGAAACAGUUGGCCGUACUCCAGCCGCCUUUGCUGAAGCUCUAAAAUUGUAUUAUCCAAUUCUAAACCAGAAAAACAAUGUACUGUGUGCAUAUGAAUGCGCUGCCUAAAUUCAAGCGACACUGCGGUGGGCUGAAUAUUUUACUUUAUAUACAGAUACGCUAAAAUACAUACAAUUCGUAUCACGAUGGUUUUGACUCAGUGAAAAGUGGUAAAUGUUGUUGGAGCAUAUUGUGAGACUCCAACCGCAUACCUGAAAGCAUUGAUUCUGCGGUGUCUAUGGAUAAGAGUAACCAUUUAACUAUGACCUCACAUUCGAUCUCCUGUAAAGAAUAAAGGUUUAAAAAAAAGCAAUAAAA